rnacentral:rRNA from 1 species
GACGAACGCUGGCGGCGUGCUUAACACAUGCAAGUCGAACGGAAAGGCCCUGCUCUUGUGGGGUGCUCGAGUGGCGAACGGGUGAGUAACACGUGAGUAACCUGCCCUUGACUUUGGGAUAACUUCAGGAAACUGGGGCUAAUACCGGAUAGGAGCUCCUGCUGCAUGGUGGGGGUUGGAAAGUUUCGGCGGUUGGGGAUGGACUCGCGGCUUAUCAGCUUGUUGGUGGGGUAGUGGCUUACCAAGGCUUUGAAGGGUAGCCGGCAUGAGAGGUUGACCGGCCACAAUGGGACUGCGAUACGGCCCAGACUCCUACGGGAGGCAGCAGUGGGGAAUAUUGCACAAUGGGCCGGAGCCUGAUGCAGCAACGCCGCGUGCGGGAUGACGGCCUUCGGGUUGUAAACCUCUUUCGCCUGUGACGAAGCGUGAGUGACGGUAAUGGGUAAAGAAGCACCGGCUAACUACGUG